UUUAUAGGUCAGUAUGCUGUAUUUAUAUGCGGAAAAUUAAGAUUAAGACCCAAUUCAUUGUUUACUCAAGAGUCUAACUGAUUCCUCUUGUUACCCCGAGUACGCAAGCUGUGUUUUUUUUUUUUUUUUUUUACUACAAAGGUGACAUAUUGUGAUCAAUAUAAAUCCAUAAUUCUCUUGCCUGUGGUUUUUAUAUAUUUUUUCAAGUAAAACCACUAUAAUACGCUGAAAUUGAGUGUAUUGUUUGGUUAUGUUUGGUUAAUGACAAUAUACUAAAUAGCACCAUUUUUAUAUAUUAUAUAGGACCAUUAAAUACAACCCAACCGCAAUUAUAAAAUAAAUCUGCCACUUUUAAAUUAAGUUACAUUUCUACCAGUAUAUUAGUUAAUCUCCGUCUUUUAAUUAAAUAGGACUUGUCACUGCUAUGUCCAGGUAAGGGCUUAAUUUCUCAAAAGCAUCGUAGUCAUAAGCAGAUGAUAGAACUAAUGUCACAGUGUUUCCAGCAGCCUUACACUUUAUUCAUAUUCUGCCUGCAGGCCCCGCUUUAAUCGCGGGAGAGAGAGAGCUCCGGUAACGGCUGCUCUGAGCUCACAAACACUGCCGUAUCGAGCAUUACAUGCUAAAUGAAAUAAAAAUGAAAUCGAACAUUUUCUAAACGCAGUCAGUUUCCUUCUGAAAUACAGUGAUGAAAAACGCCCACUCUGGUAUUUGAUUUUGAAACUUGCAGUGGUCAUGUUUAUUUAAUGAAGUCAAAGCCUUUUUGAAAAUCAAUUUUUGGCGGUCAGUUUUCGAUGGUUUUCAGAAAGACAGUUCUGUAUCUACAUUAAUAAUUUUAUAUCUAUGUUGACGUAAUAUUUUUUAAGAUACUUUCCAUCUUCCAUCCAUGCCGUGUUUGUUUUUCACAAGGGAGACAAUGAAGUGCUGAGAUCAGCAAGGCACCUUUUGGCACUUUUGACACAAGAGAGAGCUGAUGGGUCUUCUACUAGUCAGGGUAUAAACAGAUCAUCUCAUGUUAGAGGCCAAACUCCGGGGCCAUCUUCUGUCCAAACAGAAAUGACCAGGUCCUUUCCUGGAUUGUUCUCAAAUCGUAGAGGAAAACGACGUUUCACUGGACCAUGUCCUGUGCCCAUAAAACCCAAACCAUUUCAGGUCAUGUUCCAUCUGCUGCCAGCCCAAUGUGAGCGGUCCCCUAGUGCAGUGCUUCUCAAACUGGGGGUCGCGACCCCUCGGG